AACCCUCCUGGCAGAUUUUUAUCUACAGCCACUUCUGGUUCAAACUCCAUUGCUGCAAGUAGAUUUCCUUUGCAAGGUAGAGAAGACAUGGAAACUGUCGUAGGCCUAACUUCUCAAAAUGACUCGACUUCUGCACCUUCUCAUCAGCUUCAGCAAAGUCUUGUCCCACACACGGGUAUCAAUGGUUCUAUUGGUGGGUUUGGGUUUGGUUAUUACUCUCAAAUGGGGUUGGUAACACAGUGUGUAAAUUCCUUGUCUGAAAAGACUUCAGUGCCGGCUCAAACACAUGUCAUGGUUUCGGGUGCUAGUAAUUCUCUUCCAAAAGAGGCCAAGCUGGCAGAUAGUUCAAUCACUUUACAUUCUGGAAAUGCAAUGGCUGUGGAGCCUGAAAUGGUGUCACAUGCGGCAGCAACUAAUGUCGGGCUUCAGCGGAGUUCCUAUAAUGAACCGAAUUUCCUUCCAUUUGCUCCUGAUCUUAAUGUGAGAUUUCUGGCACUGGGUUCACCUAGUUCUAGUGUGCCAAUUGGUUCAUCCCAGCGCCCUGAUUUAGCAUUGCAGCUCUAAUAAUCAGCCAACACGAUUUCCGUAUGAUGUGGCUUGUAUGUGCUAAUUGUAGUAUUAGGUCAAGUACGCCUGUAUAUGAUGAUAAGAUUUGGUCGAAUUUACUGACUACAUUCUUCAUUGGAAGGUCCGUUGAGUAGUGGUUCCUCAAGAAGUCAUAGGAUCAGAUUGUAGGUGAGAUUUUGUACAGAUUGGUAUGUCAAAUUCUUUCACAGGGUUAAAAAAUUACAGAUUUGUAUGCAACAUACGGUAUCUAACAUUGUAUAUUUUGAGUUGUUAAUGAAUAUUGUUACCAAUACUACUACUGGUAUUACGUACGAGAUAUCAUUCAUGUCAUGAAUUAUGAAAUGUUCAUGUUUGGAGCAAUGAAGUAAUGCUUAAACUAAUUGAUGCAAAAUAGAGAGCAACUGAUUGCUAAGGGGGGUUGAGUGAUGUUAUAUAAAUGGCAAUUAUAUAUACAUGCGCAUAUAUAAUUAUCUUUAUGUGCAUAUAAAAUUGUCUUUAAAAUUGUGUCCCAUUAUCUAUUAUUAACCAUUGGGAAAACUAUAUCAACAAAUGAUGGUUUUCCAUACAAAUAUCUCCAUGUGUCUUUGAUGCCUUUGGAAAUUAGAUCCGUAUAGGAUUACCUGUGUUGGUUUGUGAUAGGACAUGAUAGAGUCCAUGUGUCGCAUGAUUAGCGAAGUAUUCUAGCAAAUUAUAGUCCUUUGACGAGAUACAGAAAGUAUGACUUGGUAUCUUGAUGGACAAGAUGUGAGCCAUGCGAGGUACACUUAUGUCUGAGGUCUAACCAACUCCAACAUUACAUUUAACAUAUAAUUUAUUUAUGUAAUUCGUAUAACACAAAAUAUUAAAUAUUUGUAACAAUUUCUCUUAUUACAUAAAUAUUAUUAAUGUUGUAAUAAUUUGUGUAAUUAAAUAAUAUUUUAUAAGAUUACACUAAAUACUUUAAAAUUUAAUAUUUUAAUUACAAAAUAUUUUGGAAAGCUCAUCCUCUUAUUUUGUGCUCAAGGUAAAAGUAAAGUAAUAGUUUAGUAGUAUAAUGAUUUAUUUAGCUCUCUAAUUUCAUAAAAAAGUUAUUUUAGUUAUUUUUUUAAUUUUUUUUGUCUUUUAUACAUGUUGAACUUCUAUUUUUUUUAAAUUAUCCAAAAAUAGAUGAAAAAAUUAAUGUUAUUUAAUAUUACUGAUUUGGUAUAUACAUAGAUUGUCAUGUAGAUGAGAUGUUAGCAUUUAAUUAAAUUUUAAAAAAAUUUAAAAUAUUUAAAAAGUAUUUUUUAUAAAAAAAUUAAAAAUCAUUAAAAUUUUUAAAACUUAAAAUAAUUAAUUGAAUACUAGUGUGUCAUCCACGUGAUGCUCUACAUGUAUGUAAUGUUAACAAAAUAAAAAAAAUAUUAAUUUUUUAUCUAUUUUAAAGUGAUUUAAUAAAAAAAUAUAAAUUUAAAGACUAAAAAAUAUCAAAAACUAAAAUAACCUUUUUAUAAAAUUAGAGGGUAAAUAAAUAUUAUACCUAAAUUGAUUUACCACAAAAGAGGUGCAACGCUGCAAAUCAAUGCAACUUAGUUUCACGUGAGUGCUGGGCACGCGGACAUCCUUCUAUUUCACGUGACUUUCCCUCCACGCUGGCAUCUGUUCCCCCCUGUCUUCUCCCAAUGUUCCUUCAUAUUAAAAACAUAAUAAAAAAGUAAAUAAUAUAAAAUAAAUAAAUCAAACAGAAAUCCAAAGAUUGUUUAGAUAGCAAAAAAAAAAAAAAAAAACGAAAAGGAAAAAGCAAUGGGAGGUGGUGGUGGUGGUGAGAUAGCAGCGGAGACAAGGAAGAAGAGGAAGAAGGGAAGGCCCUCUCUCUUAGAACUUCAAAAACGCUCUCUCAAACAACAACAACUGCAGGAGCCGCAGCAACCGCAAUUGCUUCUUCAAAAAACCCCUAAUUCUUCUAUCAAUUCGAACCGCCGAUCCACUCGCCGCCACCCAAAUCUCAACGGUGGGUCCCCAGUUUCCGGAUCGAUUUCCGGAGGAGAAGACGACGACGACGACGACCGCCUACAGAAGAAGCAUAAACCAUUGCUUGGUUUCAAUUCUUCUCGUACUGAUCAGCAUUAUCCGAUUCCUUCGGCGCUCAAUUCGGCCUCCUAUGGGUCCGAUUCGAAUGCGGAUGGUGACAAUCCCGACGCGUCACUCAAACGUCGCAAGUUUACCGCCGCCAAGCCUGGAUCUGAUCAAAUGGUGAUAAAUCAUACAUUAAUAUAUAGAUUUCGCGGGUUUUUUAAAGUCCUGGUUUUGAAACAGAAUCAAGAAAUUGAUUUUCCUACUUUAUUUGGAUAUUUUAUUUUAGGGUUUUAUUUUGGGAAUCGAAAAUAGCUUCUCAUGCGCCGAAAUUUUAUAAUUGCAACAGAGAUGAACGAAUGAGUUUGACUAAGUCAUGUACCUUUUUUUAUUGGAUAUUGUUUCAACUUUUUGAUUUUCGGCUAAACUUCAAGUUGUUUUGAACAUAGUUUGUCUUCCUUUUCUUUCCCGAUUUACGAAUUUUCCAUUAUUAUUUUAUUAUUUCUUGUCUUGGAUUUAAUCCUUCCUUUAUUUUUGUGCAAAAUAAUAGAUGCACAGACCAUCAUGUCUGUAAAGCUUCAGUUUGUCUUUUCUUUUCUUUAAUAAUAAUACUUCAAAGUUUUUGUUUUUUUUUGUUUUUGGUACUUGCUUUGCAUUGUUGUAGCUUUUUACUGUAACUUUCCUCAGUGAUUCUUCAAUAAUCAACGCAAGUAUCUCUUUUAAUAGUUUUUUUUUCAUUUAAUUUGGGAGUUAAAUAAAUAUAUGUAUUGACACGAGAGUUUAUCUUACUUACAGGGAGAAAAGUUAUCGAAAGUGACGGACACUCUUCAUGGUAUAAGUCUAUCUCGGUUUUCAUGAAAAAAAGGCAUUUCUGGGAAUUCUUAGAAAAAAAGAAGUGUUGGGCUUUGUUAACUAUAUUAAUUUUAUUUCAUUUAUAUGUGGACAGGGUCACCGGUGGAGUCUGGCCCCACCCCCACGACGCCUUUGCCAGACAAAAAGUUGUUGGUGUUCAUUCUUGACAGGCUUCAAAAGUAUUUGUUAUUUUUGGCUCAUUUGAUUUUUUUUUUCUUAGUUUAUCUUCCGUUUGACGGGUUUUUAUCCUUUUUACUUAAUCUACUUCCAGGAAAGAUACUUAUGGGGUAUUCUCUGAGCCAGUAGAUCCUGAAGAGGUGCAUUUUGUUUUUCAUUCUUGCAUAAAUCUAGAUUACUGAAAAGUGAAAUCACGGUUCCUGAUAUAAUGUUGGAUUGGUCUUGAUACAGCUUCCAGAUUACCAUGAUAUUAUUGCACACCCAAUGGACUUUUCGACAGUCAGGAAAAAACUUGAUGAGGGAGCUUAUAUUACCUUAGAACAAUUUGAGGUUUGUUUUGCAAGCAUUCUCUUUGCUAAUGUGGAUAAAAUGUUCGUCUAUCCGUCUUCCUCCUGACAUAGUGGAGAGGGAAAGCCAACUAAGUUGUUUGAUUGCAUUACUGUCAAUGGUGAUUAAGUUUCUGAUGUUAUUUUCUGGAUUUCUCUGGUUGAUGUGUGUUUUUGUAGCAAUUGUAUAUGGCAUAUGGCAAGUCAAGUGCGUGUUGUCAGUCAAGCAAGUCCUUGAAGAAUACUGGAGGCAUGCUAUGCCUUUUGAGAUUACUGUAGUAACGAUGUUGGCUAUGAUGUUUAAGUACUUCAUUAAGUUCACUUGUUUGGGAUAGCAUUUUGGCCUCUUAUGCCUGGAAGAUUCUUUAAUUUGGUUUGAGAAGAUAAUUACUUGCCUUUGUUUUUUACUGUUCAUAUGAUAUAUAAUUUAUUUGGUACUGCCAAUGGUUUGCCUAUGAUUUGUGGAAUUUGAUUGCAAAACUUGUUUUGUUUAGCAUAGGAUCUUACUGUGUUACUCUUUCCUAGCAGAUAACUAUAUAUGCUGUGAGUUGCUUUUUGUGGUUAACUGAGAAGAUGAAAAUCCUAAUGAAAUGAUUUUCAUGUCAGUAUAAAUGCCCUGGACCAGUGGGAUAGUCUUUAGAUUCUACAAACAUGUAGUAAUCAAAACUUAGAUUUAGGGGAUAUAGUUUUUCUGGAAUGAUACUUGAUGUAUAACUGAAAAUUUGUGAGUUUGAUUCAUGCAGAUUGAUGUUUUCCUAAUAUGCUCGAAUGCAAUGCAGUAUAAUGCACCAGAUACAAUUUACUUUCGACAGGUUUGUCUAGGUCUCAAUUGUAUUAAUUCCUUUGUCAUGAUACUGUGGUCUCUGUUAUUUUAAACGUCUGGAUUGGAUGGUUAGGCACGAUCAAUGCAGGAGCUGGCUAGAAAGGACUUUGAGAAUUUGAGGCAAGAUAGUGAUGAAGGUGAACCACAAGUGAAAGUUGUGAGGAGAGGAAGGCCACCUGGAAAGAGCCUCAAAAAGUCAUUGGUUUCAUCGUCAUCUAUUGACCAUGUUGGUUCUGAGUACUCCUCAGAUGCAACACUAGCUGCUGGACGAGAUGCUUCUAGCCUUUCAAACACUUACAAUUUGAGGAAAGCACCUAAUUCCCUCAAACUACGGCCUGCUGAUACAUUUAUCAGGCCCUCCUGGGGUUCUCCUAGCAAAGAGAAUCAUGCCAUUUGUUCAUCUGAAUGGGAGAAUGAAUUUCCAGGUUUGGUAUUUAUCUGACUUUAUAUACAUAUCCUUAAGUGUUUAGCUUUUUUAAUGUAAAAUGUUAUUUACUACAUAUUUUCUGUAUUUCAUAUUGAGCUAUUUUUCUCUCAUUUUGUAGCUUCUGUUGUGAGGGCUGUGAUGAAGUAUGGGAUGAAACAUUUUGCAGUAGAUGAGAACAGGCGUGACACCUACAACCACUCAUCAACUUCUGGACAUGAGCAACAUACCUUUUCCACCUUGGAUGGAGAAUUGAAGCAACUAAUUCCGGUGUGUUUUAUGUUUGUAUAAUGGCAAUAACAGUUAUUAAUGCAUUAGUUAGAAGAUUAUUGUAUGAGCUGUAUAGCUAGAAUGUCUGAUCUACCUUCGACUCAUUGAGCGCAGGUAAGGAAUCCUAAACUUUUUGUUUAUUAAUAAAUUGUAUACAAAAGUUGUGGUGCAGGUGGGUUUGCCCUGGUAAUUUGAUAUGUUUAUAUAUCUAGCGAAAAGGGUGUUUGAAUAUUCUGACAACUAGUGUUUAUGAGGGAACAAUACAAAACUAUCCAGAUCAGUGGCAGAAUAGAAUGCUCAAUUCCUUAUAUUGACUAAUUAUUUUUAUCACCCUCGAUUUUAUUUUGGUCAAUUAUAUUGUUUAUCAGGUUAGUUUGACUGCAGAAAAUGGUAACCCUUUUUCCCCCUUUCAUUGUCUGUCAGGUUGGUUUGAGUGCAGAAAAUGGUUAUGCUACAAGCUUGGCACGUUUUGCUGCAAAUCUUGGACCAGUUGUUUGGAAAAUUGCUUCAAGGAAAAUUGAAAGUGUUUUGCCUAGAGGACUCAAGUUUGGUCCUGGAUGGGUUGGAGAAAACAGGACAGUUGAGCAACCACAAUGUUCCUUUUCUGAUAAGCAGAGAUCUCCGAAUUCUCUUUCUGAUAACCCUCCUGGCAGAUUUUUAUCAACAGCUACUUCUGGUUCAAACUCCAUUGCUGCAAGUAGAUUUCCUUUGCAGGGUAGAGAAGACAUGGAAGCUGUCAGAGGCCUAACUUCUCAAAAUGACUCGACUUCUGCACCUUCUCAUCAGUUUCAGCAAAGUCUUGUUCCACACUCGGGUAUCAAUGGUUCUAUUGGUGGGUUUGGGUUUGGUUAUUCCUCUCAAACGGGGUUGGUAACACAGUGUGUAAAUUCUUUGUCUGAAAAGACUACAGUGCCGACU
rnacentral:lncRNA from 1 species